GGCAACCCUGACGGAGCAACGCCGCGUGCGGGAGGAAGGCCUUUGGGUUGUAAACCGCUUUUCUCAGGGAAGAUAAUGACGGUACUUGAGGAAUCAGCCUCGGCUAACUCCGUGCCAGCAGCCGCGGUAAUACGGAGGAGGCAAGCGUUAUCCGGAAUUAUUGGGCGUAAAGCGUUCGCAGGCGGUCAGCCAAGUCUGCUGUUAAAUGCCGCAGCUCAACUGCGGGAGGGCAGUGGAAACUGGCUAACUAGAGUGUGGCAGGGGUAGGGGGAAUUCCCGGUGUAGCGGUGAAAUGCGUAGAUAUCGGGAAGAACACCAGUGGCGAAAGCGCCCUACUGGGCCAUAACUGACGCUCAGGGACGAAAGCUAGGGUAGCG
rnacentral:rRNA from 1 species